rnacentral:rRNA from 1 species
ACGAACGCUGGCGGCGUGCUUCACACAUGCAGGUCGAACGGAAAGGCCCUGCUUUUGUGGGGUGCUCGAGUGGCGAACGGGUGAGUAACACGUGAGUAACCUGCCCUUGACUUUGGGAUAACUUCAGGAAACUGGGGCUAAUACCGGAUAGGAGCUCCUGCUGCAUGGUGGGGGUUGGAAAGUUUCGGCGGUUUGGGAUGGACUCGCGGCUUAUCAGCUUGUUGGUGGGGUAGUGGCUUACCAAGGCUUUGACGGGUAGCCGGCCUGAGAGGGUGACCGGCCACAUUGGGACUGAGAUACGGCCCAGACUCCUACGGGAGGCAGCAGUGGGGAAUAUUGCACAAUGGGCGGAAGCCUGAUGCAGCAACGCCGCGUGCGGGAUGACGGCCUUCGGGUUGUAAACCGCUUUCGCCUGUGACGAAGCGUGAGUGACGGUAAUGGGUAAAGAAGCACCGGCUAACUACGUG